ensembl:lncRNA LIFR-AS1 LIFR antisense RNA 1
AGUCGGAGGAACGCGGCCGCGCGACGGGCCCCGGACGCCGAGGGUGGUGCUUCCUCCGAGCCUCCGGUGGUGAGGCCGCUCUCAGAAGGUCAUGGAAGCGCAGGGGAGAGCGAGGCGGCCGAGCCCAGGCAAAUCCUCGAGAAAGGCCGAGUGCGCGACGGCUCUGCGGGGAGGACCGCGCCUCCCCGAAUGCGGCCGCUGCUGCCGCUGCAAACAGUGCCUUGAGGAGAGGAAAGCGGGGAACCGUGUUUUCGCCGCCUCUGUAACCACUGCACACAAGAAAACCAGCUUCUGGGAGAGGGGGAUGAUUGUUGGGACUUUGCGAAUUACCUAAACAGCCCAGGGCCGAGGCGCCGCCGCUCGCGUCCUGGUCCUCCUGCCGGGUGUGGGGCUCCCCUGCCCGAGAUGGCCAGCGGGCGCGCCGAGAGUAUCCUGGAGCCAUCUAGUCUUGCCUCGGAGGCGGGGUGGGCUUAUUUGUGCGGAGAAGAAACGGAUCUCUUAAUGGGGUGAGAUUUUUCCUCCGUACAUUGUUCCCAUUUCCGCAGUUUCACUUGGCCUCGGUUUUCUAGCAGAGUAAUCACCAAAUGAAAUUAGCUGGAGAGCGUUUGAUGGCGCAGAAUCACGGUCUGAAGAUGUUUACGCUGUAUGCCGGACGCGUUUGAUGGUGUUCUCUUCGGCACAAUUAAUUUUGCAAAGUUCAGAAAUGUGCCAGACAGAGCCCCUGGCACGCAGUCAGGACUCUACAGACACACCUUGAGUAGGAAACAGGCUUGUUUGUUUCAUCUGUGAUUUAUGUGAUGCACCAGCACCAAGGCCAACGUGUUUUUUAAAGACCUUUCGAUGAAACUCCAAAGCAAUUUAUAAAUUGGCAAAAUGAAGCUUGUUUUGUAAAAUAACUCUUCCUUGUUGAUCAUGUAAUUAAAUGGGCAACAAAACACCUGAAAGGACAUUUACUGAAAAGUAGACUCCCAAAACAAAAAUAUGUAUUUCACAGCUAGAUACGGUCGCUAUUAGCGUCCUAAUGGCCAACUCCAUCCAUGUGCGUAUUUUGAACACUAAAAACGCCUCCUGUUACCCCUAAGACCUUGUUUGGAUAACAUUUUUCUAUUAUAAGUACUCGAAACCAACCCCAUUUAAGAUGUUUACCCUUAUUCUUGAGUCCUUGAUGGUUUGGGAAAUUUAUCAUUAUUCAUAUUGCACAAUCCUGUCACUGUCUUUUCCAUUAGGCACAGUGCCUAAGGUCCACAAUAUUUUUAGAGGCCCACAAAAAAUAUUUUAAUUUCUUUUCAAAUCAGAAGGAAAAAAAAUUUAGGUUUAAGAAAGUAUUUUAAUAUAUAUUAAUAUAUUUGUUUUUGUGCUAAUACAAUCUUAAAAUGUAUGUAUAUAUGUGUGUGUGUAUAUGUAUAUAUAUUUUAAUGGAGUAAGGGGCUCAACGAAGGCAAAAAGGCCUAGAGCCCAAGAAAAACAUGAUGUGGCCCUGUUGCCUGGGGUUGAAAAAUCCCAUUCCAUGAGAAGAAUUUAGUUUUAAGAAUAUUACAUAAAAUGCUCAUUUCUGUGGCCUUGCUAUAAUAGAAAGAUGGAGAUUCAGAGUAGUGAUAAUGGCUAACAUCCACCUGAUACACACCAUGUGUCCAUUACCUCUUAAUCCUCACAGCACACCUGUGAAAUAGGUACUAUUCUCACACUUAGGGGGUAAUGCAGGUUUUGUGGGGCCUGCAAUUUAUGCAAUUUGGGUGGUCCUCUUAAAGAAAAAGCAAAUACUGUGUAUUAGUCCGUUCUCACACUGCUAUAAAGAACUGCGCGAGACUGGGUAAUUUAUAAAGGAAAGAGGUUUAAUUGACUCACAGUUCCACAUGGCUGGGGAGACCUCAGGAAACUUAACAAUCGUGGUGGAAGGAGAAGCAAGUACCUUCUUCACAAGGAAGCGGAAAGAAUUGUGAGCGGAGGAACUUGCCAAACACAAAACCGUCAGAUCGCGUGAGAAUUCAGUUACUAUCACGAGAACAACACGGGAAAACUGUCCCCAUAAUCAAGUCAUUUCUCUCCCUAACAAGUGAGGAUUACAAUUCAAGAUGAGGUUUGGGUAGGAACACAAAGCCUGACCCUAUCCCACAGCAUGUCCAGGCUGCCCUAGCACCACCCAAUAGAAGGGAAAAUGGCAGAGGGAAAGUCCUAGUGGAAAGAGACCUCAGUCUCAGCUAAUUGUGGUGACAAUAUAUUGCUUUUGCAAAUUGUACAUAAACAUAUGACCAGGUGAAUGUAUCGCCAAGGCUCCUGCCAAGGCCUGGGAUGGAGGCCUAGAGAAGAUGCCCGAAAGUUUAUGCUGUGUGAGCUUCACAGAAGACCUGCCUUCCAUGUAUACCCAUUUUACAGGUGUCUGUGCGGUGCAGAAACUGUACAACUGUAUACAGUGACCAUUUCUACUCUGGGUCUCUAAACAAGGGCUGGUAUCGUUACAGAGACUGAAGACUGAGGAAGACCAUCUCUGUAGGAUGCCAAGGAUUGACUGGAGAAAGUCUGGAAUUUUCCACAAAUGAGUUCAUUUAUAAAGAGAAAGGCAAGCUUUGAUGACAACACCUUCACAAAAUGGAGGCCUUUGAAAACAUUGGUCUGGAUUGAGGAGUUGGAGAAGAAUGAAGUGCACAUCAACCAAACAGAAGAGAAGCAAUUUGGAGGAGGAAAAAAUCAGUUCUUCAUGAAAGGAUCACAUUGAUCUUGGUAAGUGUAAACUCUAGAUGCCCAUAUGGUUUGGCUGUGUCCCCACCCAAAUCUCAUCUUGAAUUGUAGUUCCCAUAAUCUCCAUGUGUUUUGGGAGGGGCCCCAUGGGAGGUAAUUGAAUCCUGGGGGCAGUUAUUCCCAUGCUGCUGUUAUCAUGAUAGUGAGUGAGUUAUCAUGAGAUCUGAUGGUUUUAUAAGGAGCUUUUCCCCACUUGCUUGGCACUUCUCCUUGCUGCUGUCAUGUGAAGAAGGACAUGUUUGCUUCUCCUUCUGCCAUGAUUGUAAGUUUCCUGAGGCCUCACCAUCCCUGCAGAACUGUGAGUCAAUUAAACCUCUUUCCUUUAUAAAUUACCCAGUCUAGGGUAUGUCCUUAUAGCAACGUAAGAACAGACUAAUACACCAUGUCAGUGAGCCCUCACCCUCUGAACAUACAAUCUACUAAUUCCUACUAAUUUCUUUUGCAGAGUC